CCUACGGGAGGCAGCAGUGGGGAAUCUUGCACAAUGGGGGCAACCCUGAUGCAGCGACGCCGCGUGAGUGAAGAAGUAUUUCGGAUUGUAAAGCUCUAUCAGCAGGGAAGAAAAUGACGUUGCCUGAUUAUUAAGCCCCGGCUAACUACGUGCCAGCAGCCGCGGUAAUACGUAGUGGGCAAGCGUUAUCCGGAUUUACUGGGUGAAAAGGGAGCGUAGACGGCAGCGCAAGUCUGAAGUGAAAGGCCGGGGCUUAACCCCGGAACGGCUUUGGAAACUGUGCAGCUAGAGUGCAGGAGAGGUAAGUGGAAUUCCUAGUGUAGCGGUGAAAUGCGUAGAUAUAAGGAGGAACACCAGUGGCGAAGGCGGCUUACUGGACUGUAACUGACGUUGAGGCUCGAAAGCGUGGGGAGCAAACAGGAUUAGAUACCCGUGUAGUC
rnacentral:rRNA from 1 species